ACUGCGAAGGCGCCUCCGAGUUGCCACCCCGGGGUGGCCCCUCAAUGCGGCACUGAAACUGCUCCAGCGCGGCGCGCGCUCGCGGGGGGCUACUUACGGGACGUGGCCGGGGCCGUCCAGGCUCUGCAGAGGAGGCUGCUGACAAUCCAGAGCGACAGCGCUGCCCCGCAGCCGGCUCGCGGAGCCACCACCAUCCUCGGCUUGCCGGCUCGCGGGACUCGGAAAGCUCGUUGCCGAGACGCCGUGCGUCUCUCCGUGGGCUUCUCCCGGGGAGGUGGGCUGUCCUCAGCGCGGGAGAGAGCCGGGCCCCUCCCGCUGCGUCCUCUGCUCCCCGCACCCCUGCAGACUCCAGUUCUGCCGGGCUGGGAGCCGCGGGGGAGGCGCAGCCUUCCUCUUCCCUCCGUGCGGCUCCUGCCUCUCGCUCCGGGAGCCAGUGAAAUGCCAGGGGGAAGAAUUCAAACCAAGAAGGAAAGGGAGGGGGAGCAGAGGAGGGGACCUACCCCGCCCUCUCUCUCUCGGGAGGGAAAAAAAAAAUUCACCACAGGACGUGGACGCAGAUCAGAGGAGCGGGGGAUGCAAAGGCAGAGGGAGAGCGCCGGGCACGGCAGUGCUGCCCGUGGCAGUGCGGGCGAGCGCUCCCCGCGCCGCCGGGCGGCGUGACUCGGAGGGGCUUCCAGUCGCCUGUCGGCUCACACCGAGAGCUGGUGCGCAGGCAGCACGCAGCCCCGCGGGCGGGCGGGCGCACGCACGGCCUCAGCGCGGCGCAGCGCGGGGCGGCAUCUCCGCGGCUCCCGAGCAGCAACAGCGGCAGCAGCGGCCGCAGACAGAGCUGGAGACGCCGCCGCCGCCAGCAGCGCCUGCACAGCCCGGCGGUGGGCGAGGCGGGGAAGCCCUCCCUCCUCGCCCCCUCCAGUCCCCACCCCGGCUCCUCCUCCACCUCCUCCUUACCGUACCCCUCCGGCUGUCAGAACCCUUCUGCCCUGCCCUCGCUUCCUGGAAGCCGGAGCCAGGAGGCACCGACGGGCCCGGGUCCAUCGGCUGGGGCGGGGGCGGAGCAAGGGGGUGCGCGCCUCUUCCCAGGCGGGAGGCGGUGCUGAAGUUGGGGAUUUGCAGUGUAAUCUUGGAACCCUGCUCCAACCCCGGCCGCCCCCCACCCAGGUGCAGGAAACCGAGCCCCUGCGCUCGGAUGCCUCCUCUUUCCCUUCUCUCCUCCCCUUCAGAUAGAGAUGGUACAGGCUUUGGGCGCUCCGGCCCCCCGGGAACCACAAUCAGGCGUCCGACAGGCAGGUCUUCCGAGUGGUCCUAACACCAAGUGACGGAGCUGAACAUCCCGAUGGAGCAGUGGGGACUGC
rnacentral:lncRNA from 1 species